rnacentral:rRNA from 1 species
UACGGGGGGGCAAGCGUUGUUCGGAAUUACUGGGCGUAAAGGGUUCGUAGGUGGCCAACUAAGUCAGACGUGAAAUCCCUCAGCCUAACUGGGGAACUGCGUCUGAUACUGGUUGGCUUGAGUGCAGGAGAGGAACGCGGAAUUCCAGGUGUAGCGGUGAAAUGCGUAGAUAUCUGGAGGAACACCGGUGGCGAAGGCGGCGUUCUGGACUGUUACUGACACUGAUGAACGAAAGCCAGGGGAGCAAACGGG